UUUCCCCUUUUCAUUCAGUCUAUAUCAGGUCCUGACUCCUCAGUUAAGCUUGUAUAGAAAUAUCCUCAAAGAUAUGUCUCAAAAUGCAUCUGCAUGGUUAGACCAUCAUGGCAAGGAAGGCUCAGCAGCAUGACUCCAUCUCAGAAACUGUUUUUUCCUAUAGUACUCAUAAGGGCUGCUGUAUUCAUAGAGGACACACAAAAGGUGUCUGGCCAUCUCAUCUUAACUGAGUCUUGUAAAGCUGAAAUGAAGAUGUAUACUAUCUGCCCAUGAAGGUUGGGAGAAGUCAUCUGAGGCCUUGGAAUGGAGUUCUUACAUAUAAUUCUGAGCUGUCACGUGGAUGCCUGGAACAUAACCUGGGUCCUUGGCAAGAGUUGCGAGUGCUCUUAACCUGU